rnacentral:lncRNA from 10 species
CCCAAAAUGGGCACAGCAGAAGAUGGACGCGCUGCUCAGAUCUAAGCAUUUGGAUACCUGUAAAUAGCUCUGGUUUAGCUUGGAGGAGACUGAACUUAAAUGGAGUGAAGUUUGAAGACUGUCUGUGAAUUUUAGCUUUAAAUAUUGUAAGUCAGCGCUGGCGGCAAUGGCCAUCUUUAACUUCGUGAUACUAAGAAAAAGAUAGGCUCUUCAGACAAGAACAAAAACAUUCCAGUUCUCAACAUUUGGAAAGAGACAGCCAGGCCGGAACUCAAAACUUAGAAGACAGAGACACAGAGAGGGAAUGAAAGCCACAGAGAGAGAAAAUGAAUCUCAAGAGGAGGACAGGACUGUAAUAAGCCACAUCAUGAAGUUAGAAUCUUCCAGCAGAAGACUGAAAUACUGUAACUGACAGUAACUGACCAUCUGGAACACUAUAAAUGUCUUCUUUACUUCUUACUUUGUUU